UGACAUUUGCGUUAUAUAACAACGAUUGGUGGAUCAAGAGGUCAACAACAAGGACUAUCUCUCUACCGUGCUUCUUUUCCCUUAGCUGCCCCCAUAAGUCAGACAUCACUUCUGUUGCCCAUGAUGUGCUCAUCAUCACAGCUCACAACUGAUGGAUCUGCUGGGCCUCCAGGAGGUGGUGAAACACUGCAGUUCCAGAAGCUGUUUUGCAGCAUCUUCUGCUGGUCUGGAGGAUAAUUAUGCCCCGAG